CUGCUUGCAUCAGUAGCACAUUUACUAAAGAUGAAACAAUACUUAGAAGAUUAGUAUAGCCUCUGCACAAGACUGACAUGUAAAUCUGUGAUAAAAUAGUUAAAUAUUU
rfam:Fukomys damarensis contig148465, whole genome shotgun sequence.